GGGCCCAUAGCUCAGUUGGUUAGUAGCAUUCGACUCAUAAUCGAAGGGUCGUAGGUUCAAGUCCUACUGGGCCCA
rnacentral:tRNA from 1 species